rnacentral:other from 1 species
UAUAUACUGCCUUGUUAGCGAAUGUGUGCUGUUAUAAUCCCAACACUUUGAAAACGGGAUUUCGACUCCGGCGGCGGAUUGCAGACCUCCUUUUCCUUCGGGAAUUGUUGGCGGGAGCGCGAAACCGCUGGGCGAUUUUACCCACCCUGCUAUGACGCGGGUUUUAUAUUGCAUCCUACUGCAAGGCGGUGCAAUU